GAGUCGUACAGUUUUAUUUCUAAUCAAGCGUGCUGGGGGAAUCAACUCUUAGGCCAGUCUUGGAUGUAUAGUGAGACGCAGAAACAAAACAAACCCACCAACCACAAAAGCCCCUUGUGUUUGAAUUGAGAUGGCUUCCUUCAUCCUGGUUUCUCCUCAAGUAUCCUUCACCGAGUAGGCUUUCCAUCAAUGUUUCUGAACCCAUAAUGUUGAGAUUUCCCUGACUCACACUCUGUGGUAUCAUCUUGCUCGUUUGUUGUUGUUUUUAAGAGAGCAACUCAUUAUGUAUGCAUCCCUGGCUGCCCUGGAAUUCUAUACAGACCAGGCUGGCUUCAAAUUCAGAGAUCUGCCUGUUUCUGCCUUCUGAAUGCUGGGAUCAUAUAUGAACCACCACUGCCAGCUAUGUCUUGAUUUUUUUUUUUUUCAGAAUGAUCUGAGACCUGUGUACUAUGCAAAGAAGAGAUUUGGGGGGGGGGAGCUAACAGUCUUCUCUGCAUUUUAAGUCCUGUUUUUGUUGAGUUGAAACACUUAUACUAAUGAGUAGACACAAAAGGAAUCAGAUAGGCCAGGUGUAGUGGCUCAUGUCUUUAAUCCCAGUACUUGGAAGGCAGAGGCAGGCAGGUCUCUGUAGAGAGUUGGAGGCCAGCCUGGUCUACAAAGUGAGUACAGAACCCACGUUGGAGGUAUAGUGGUGAGCAUAGCUGCCUUCCAAAGUGAGUACAGGAUAGCCAGGGCUUUUACACAGAGAAACCUUGUCUCAACAAAAAAGAAAACGAAACAAAACAACAAGCAAACAAAACAAUAAAACAAACACAAACAAACGAACAAAAGGUAGUGGGAGAUCCCUGAUUCUAUUUAAAAAGAUAGAAACAUAAAGCUUCUACAAAAGAACAGGCAGUGUUGACAGGAAUCAGGCUAACUGGAUAGAAU
ensembl:sense_intronic Gm43846 predicted gene 43846